UUCCGGUUGAUCCUGCCGGACCCGACUGCUAUCAGAGUGGGACUAAGCCAUGCGAGUCGACAUAGCAAUAUGUGGCAUACGGCUCAGUAACACGUAGUCAACAUGCCCAGGGGACGUGGAUAACCUCGGGAAACUGAGGAUAAACCACGAUAGGUCAUCACUUCUGGAAUGGGUAAUGACUUAAAUCUAUAUGGCCCCUGGAUUGGACUGCGGCCGAUCAGGCUGUUGGUGAGGUAAUGGCCCACCAAACCUGUAACCGGUACGGGCUCUGAGAGGAGGAGCCCGGAGAUGGGCACUGAGACAAGGGCCCAGGCCCUAUGGGGCGCAGCAGGCGCGAAACCUCUGCAAUAGGCGAAAGCUUGACAGGGUUACUCUGAGUGAUUUCCGUUAAGGAGAUCUUUUGGCACCUCUAAAAAUGGUGCAGAAUAAGGGGUGGGCAAGUCUGGUGUCAGCCGCCGCGGUAAUACCAGCACCCCGAGUGGUCGGGACGUUUAUUGGGCCUAAAGCAUCCGUAGCCGGUUCUACAAGUCUUCCGUUAAAUCCACCUGCUUAACAGAUGGGCUGCGGAAGAUACUAUAGAGCUAGGAGGCGGGAGAGGCAAGCGGUACUCGAUGGGUAGGGGUAAAAUCCGUUGAUCCAUUGAAGACCACCAGUGGCGAAGGCGGCUUGCCAGAACGCGCUCGACGGUGAGGGAUGAAAGCUGGGGGAGCAAACCGGAUUAGAUACCCGGGUAGUCCCAGCUGUAAACGAUGCAGACUCGGUGAUGAGUUGGCUUAUUGCUAACUCAGUGCCGCAGGGAAGCCGUUAAGUUUGCCGCCUGGGGAGUGCGGUCGCAAGACUGAAACUUAAAGGAAUUGGCGGGGGAGCACCACAAGGGGUGAAGCCUGCGGUUCAAUUGGAGUCAACGCCGGA
rnacentral:rRNA from 1 species